CUGAGAGUUCUGAUGUAGGCUUUUCAAAGGGCCCUGUUUUCACUCUGAUGAGAGGCAUUACCAUAUUGCUGUUGACUACAAAUAGGGACUGACAGCUCGCAGAGAAGCAGAGCUCGGCGGAGGCAACCUUUUGUUUGAAUCGUUGAACGGCAAUGCCAGUGAGCUGUGAGAGCUCAACGCAUCUUUUGACAGCAAAUGCAGAACUGUCCCUUUGAAAAGCAAUUAAGUGCAUUUGAAAGGGCUUGAGUACACCAAGAAAAGGAUUGCUACAGCAGCACAAGAACAGCGAAAGGGGCAGGCCAACCAGAGAGGUGCUCAGGACUGGUAUUAUGGAAUUCUU